rnacentral:tRNA from 1 species
GCCCCGGUGGCACAACUGGAUAGCGCGGCCCCCUCCUAAGGGGUAGGUUGAAGGUUCGAAUCCUUCCCGGGGCGCCA